rnacentral:rRNA from 1 species
GGUUAAGCGACUAAGCGUACACGGUGGAUGCCCUGGCAGUCAGAGGCGAUGAAGGACGUGCUAAUCUGCGAAAAGCGCCGGCGAGGUGAUAUGAACCUUUGACCCGGCGAUGUCCGAAUGGGGAAACCCAGUGUGUUCCGACACACUAUCGUUAACUGAAUACAUAGGUUAACGAGGCGAACCGGGGGAACUGAAACAUCUAAGUACCCCGAGGAAAAGAAAUCAACCGAGAUUCCCCCAGUAGCGGCGAGCGAACGGGGAGCAGCCCGGAGUCUGAAUCAGCUUGUGUGUUAGUGGAACGGUCUGGAAAGUCCGACGGUACAGGGUGAUAGUCCCGUACACGAAAAUGCACAUGCUGUGAACUCGAAGAGUAGGGCGGGACACGUGGUAUCCUGUCUGAAUAUGGGGGACCAUCCUCCAAGGCUAAAUACUCCUGACUGACCGAUAGUGAACCAGUACCGUGAGGGAAAGGCGAAAAGAACCCCGGCGAGGGGAGUGAAAAAGAACCUGAAACCGUGUACGUACAAGCAGUGGGAGCACCUUCGGGUGUGACUGCGUACCUUUUGUAUAAUGGGUCAGCGACUUAUAUUCUGUAGCAAGGUUAACCGUAUAGGGGAGCCGAAGGGAAACCGAGUCUUAACUGGGCGUUAAGUUGCAGGGUAUAGACCCGAAACCCGGUGAUCUAGCCAUGGGCAGGUUGAAGGUUGGGUAACACUAACUGGAGGACCGAACCGACUAAUGUUGAAAAAUUAGCGGAUGACCUGUGGCUGGGGGUGAAAGGCCAAUCAAACCGGGAGAUAGCUGGUUCUCCCCGAAAGCUAUUUAGGUAGCGCCUCGUGAACUCAUCUUCGGGGUAGAGCACUGUUUCGGCUAGGGGGCCAUCCCGGCUUACCAACCCGAUGCAAACUACGAAUACCGAAGAAUGUUAUCACGGGAGACACACGGCGGGUGCUAACGUCCGUCGUGAAGAGGGAAACAACCCAGACCGCCAGCUAAGGUCCCAAAGUCAUGGUUAAGUGGGAAACGAUGUGGGAAGGCACAGACAGCCAGGAUGUUGGCUUAGAAGCAGCCAUCAUUUAAAGAAAGCGUAAUAGCUCACUGGUCGAGUCGGCCUGCGCGGAAGAUGUAACGGGGCUAAACCAUGCACCGAAGCUGCGGCAGCGACGCUUAUGCGUUGUUGGGUAGGGGAGCGUUCUGUAAGCCGUUGAAGGUGUGCUGUGAGGCAUGCUGGAGGUAUCAGAAGUGCGAAUGCUGACAUAAGUAACGAUAAAGCGGGUGAAAAGCCCGCUCGCCGGAAGACCAAGGGUUCCUGUCCAACGUUAAUCGGGGCAGGGUGAGUCGACCCCUAAGGCGAGGCCGAAAGGCGUAGUCGAUGGGAAACAGGUUAAUAUUCCUGUACUUGGUGUUACUGCGAAGGGGGACGGAGAAGGCUAUGUCAGCCGGGCGACGGUUGUCCCGGUUUAAGCAUGUAGGCGGAGGUUCCAGGUAAAUCCGGUACCUUGUUAACGCUGAGGUGUGAUGACGAGGCACUACGGUGCUGAAGUGAUAAAUGCCCUGCUUCCAGGAAAAGCCUCUAAGCAUCAGGUAACACGAAAUCGUACCCCAAACCGACACAGGUGGUCAGGUAGAGAAUACCAAGGCGCUUGAGAGAACUCGGGUGAAGGAACUAGGCAAAAUGGUGCCGUAACUUCGGGAGAAGGCACGCUGAUAUGUAGGUGAAGUCCCUGCGGACGGAGCUGAAAUCAGUCGAAGAUACCAGCUGGCUGCAACUGUUUAUUAAAAACACAGCACUGUGCAAACACGAAAGUGGACGUAUACGGUGUGACGCCUGCCCGGUGCCGGAAGGUUAAUUGAUGGGGUUAGCGGCAACGCGAAGCUCUUGAUCGAAGCCCCGGUAAACGGCGGCCGUAACUAUAACGGUCCUAAGGUAGCGAAAUUCCUUGUCGGGUAAGUUCCGACCUGCACGAAUGGCGUAAUGAUGGCCAGGCUGUCUCCACCCGAGACUCAGUGAAAUUGAACUCGCUGUGAAGAUGCAGUGUACCCGCGGCAAGACGGAAAGACCCCGUGAACCUUUACUAUAGCUUGACACUGAACACUGGUCCUUGAUGUGUAGGAUAGGUGGGAGGCUUUGAAGCGUGGACGCCAGUCUGCGUGGAGCCAUCCUUGAAAUACCACCCUUUAAUGGCUGGUGUUCUAACGUAGACCCGUGAUCCGGGUUGCGGACAGUGUCUGGUGGGUAGUUUGACUGGGGCGGUCUCCUCCCAAAGAGUAACGGAGGAGCACGAAGGUUGGCUAAUCCUGGUCGGACAUCAGGAGGUUAGUGCAAUGGCAUAAGCCAGCUUGACUGCGAGCGUGACGGCGCGAGCAGGUGCGAAAGCAGGUCAUAGUGAUCCGGUGGUUCUGAAUGGAAGGGCCAUCGCUCAACGGAUAAAAGGUACUCCGGGGAUAACAGGCUGAUACCGCCCAAGAGUUCAUAUCGACGGCGGUGUUUGGCACCUCGAUGUCGGCUCAUCACAUCCUGGGGCUGAAGUAGGUCCCAAGGGUAUGGCUGUUCGCCAUUUAAAGUGGUACGCGAGCUGGGUUUAGAACGUCGUGAGACAGUUCGGUCCCUAUCUGCCGUGGGCGCUGGAGAAUUGAGGGGGGCUGCUCCUAGUACGAGAGGACCGGAGUGGACGCAUCACUGGUGUUCGGGUUGUCAUGCCAAUGGCACUGCCCGGUAGCUAAAUGCGGAAGAGAUAAGUGCUGAAAGCAUCUAAGCACGAAACUUGCCCCGAGAUGAGUUCUCCCUGAGACCUUGAGUCUCCUGAAGGAACGUUGAAGACGACGACGUUGAUAGGUCGGGUGUGUAAGCGCAGCGAUGCGUUGAGCUAACCGAUACUAAUGAACCGUGAGGCUUAACCUU